GUCUACGGCCAUACCACCCUGAACGCGCCCGAUCUCGUCUGAUCUCGGAAGCUAAGCAGGGGCGGGCCUGGUUAGUACUUGGAUGGAAGUUAUUUCUGAUUAGCAAGUCCUUAGAUA
rnacentral:rRNA from 1 species